AAACGCUUGAAGUCAGUCGCGUUCUCUGGGAUUCAGCCUUGCUUCUGCUUGGUGCAUUUCCUAGUUUACGGGCCAACAUGAAUUUUGACCAGUGGAAAAGGAUUUGGGGAAUGUGGCACCUCCGGGUGUGUUAUAGCCCCUUGUCGCAUACAUUGGUUGGGAUUGAGGUUUCAGUGCACGCUUCUGUUGUGCUUUGAUGUUGGCGUAAUGGCUUUAAACGA
rnacentral:rRNA from 1 species